CAGCCGCCGCGGUAAUACGGAGGGUGCAAGCGUUAAUCGGAAUUACUGUGCGUAAAGCGUGCGCAGGCGGUCCGCUAAGACAGAUGUGAAAUCCCCGGGCUUAACCUGAGAACUGCAUUUGUGACUGGCGGGCUAGAGUAUGGCAGAGGGGGGUAGAAUUCCACGUGUAGCAGUGAAAUGCGUAGAGAUCGGAAGGAACAUCUGUGGCGAAGGCAGCCCCCUGGGCCAACACUGACGCUGAGGCACGAAAGCGUGGGGAGCAAACAGGAUUAGAUACCCGUGUAGUCCCUGUCUCUUAUAA
rnacentral:rRNA from 1 species